UGAGAUCUAGUGGGAUUAUGUGCUGCAGGAUGGGUGGUGGAGGUGGAGCACGAUCAGUCAUGGGAAUUUGCUAAGUACACACAUAGAUUUAUUAGGUAAAUGUUGGAUGUUGGAUUAGGAUUUGUGGGACUAAUUGUAUGGUGUUGAUUGCUUCGUGUAUUUUAUUGUACUAAUUGCUGGGUGCAUGUAAGAAAGUUCUGGUUUGCUUGUUUAAUAGUAGUAUAAAUGAAUGUGGU
rnacentral:lncRNA from 1 species